rnacentral:rRNA from 1 species
UACGAAGGGGGCUAGCGUUGCUCGGAAUCACUGGGCGUAAAGGGUGCGUAGGCGGGUCUUUUAAGUCAGGGGUGAAAUCCUGGAGCUCAACUCCAGAACUGCCUUUGAUACUGAAGAUCUUGAGUUCGGGAGAGGUGAGUGGAACUGCGAGUGUAGAGGUGAAAUUCGUAGAUAUUCGCAAGAACACCAGUGGCGAAGGCGGCUCACUGGCCCGAUACUGACGCUGAGGCACGGAAAAGCGUGGG